CUUCCCGUGCGCAAGGCCCCGGGAGCUCAUCAGCUUGCGUAACCAUCACUUACAAUGAUAACCAAGGGGAGUGCUGAAGGCAGAAAAUCACUGAACUGGGGAGCCCAGAAAGCAGCAGCCGUAAAUACGAGAUGACCUUCCAAGAGCCGGAUGCCUGAAUUUACGACUUUGGAGACUACGAGACCAUGGGCCGCAGCAAGGGGAGCAUCGCGGCAGCAGGGGGCUGAGGAGGAAGGGAGAGCUCACGGCCUUAAGUGAGGAGCGCAGCGGCCAGGCUGGACCUUCGCCGGCUCGCGGCAGGGCCUUCGCGGCGCCGCCCGCAGUAAGGCUCCGUGAGAAGAGCUGUGGACCAGGCCGGCGGCCCGAACGAUCCCGAUCCCGGGGCCUGAGGGCCGCUCCGGGACGCGCUCGAGGGCAAGGGGCGGGAGGCCAGGUCAAGGUCAGGCCCUGGGAAUAAGCCGGGGGAGGAGGAGCGACUCUGAAGGGGCGGGGCGACCGAUCGCGUCCCUGGGCAGGCACAGGGCACAGCACCGACUGCAAGCUAGGUUAAAGGCCACGUUUCGGGAUCCGGCAGGAAGCUCCUGUCCGUGGAGGGCCGCAGUCUAGCAUGUCCUGUCCUGUGUUCUUGACCACAAGGCCACCAUGCAGUGAGCAGCUGUCCUCCACCAGGCUCUUUUGCCUCAUGUUUCUGGAGUGGAGCAGCUGGCCAUGGACUGAACCCAGUGGAACUGUGAACCAACAGGGAAGUCUGUGCAGGUAUGCUGCUUUAAACAAGGUGGACUUAGCCAAGGCAGCGGAUGAUCUUGUGUUAAGGCGGAGUGCAAACACAUCUUGCCUGCUUUGUGAGAGGUUUCCAGAGAACUCGCAGGUGCAGCAGAACCACGGCUGGGCGGAGGGGCCACUGGGCCCUCUAGGAACUUCUCUCAAAUAUACCACAGGAGGCACUGCUCCCUGCAGAGUUCACGUGGGACGUCUUUAACUGUCCGCCAGUCUGUUUUCCCCAGAAUCAAACAUCUGCCCAAGUCCAAGAACAUCUCAAGAAGCCAAAAUAAAUACAGAAACCUUUUCCCAUAGCUCACCAGUUGAUUUUCCCAGCUAUAAAAAGAUGUUUCAACUGACAGGAAAUAGUUCCCUGACUGACACAGGUCUCCUGAGAGGAAGUGUGACUUCUUGUCCACUAACAUUUCAUGGUGGCUGAGAAUCAGCCUGCCUUCCUCUGAGGGCUUCCUAGGGCAACCAGUUGUUCAGGUCAGGAGUACCAUGAUAUAAUCUGAACCCAAUGAUCCUUGUAAAUACUCCAAUUCCAGGGAAAUCCUCAUCUUUGCCCUAAUUACAGCUUUUUUUUUUUUUGGUACUGGGGAUCGAACUCAGGACCUUGCACCUGCAAGGCAGGUGCUGGAACCACUGAGCUAAAUCCCAGGCCCACAAAUUGUUUUAAUUAACUCAAGGAAUAAGGCCCAGGCCUAUUUGGAGAUAUAUUCUCCCUUACAGCUUCUAGAAGUUCAAGAGGCAAAAUAUUUUUCAACAUUAGGUGAUCCAUUCCAAAUUAUUAAUUUCAUCUAACGAAGUAUGAUCGUUUUCUGUUGCUGCUGUAACCAAUGACCACAAAUUUAGGGACUUAACACAAAUUUUUGCCAUGACAGUUCGGUAAUGGUCCAAAAUCUCACGCCCGCCUGCCAAUGGCUGGGCUAUUUCUUCUGGAAGGCCCGGGAGAAUGUGUCCUGGUUUGGCCUGACUGGUACCACGUCCCUCCAACUCUGUCCACCCGUCCCUCUCCCUCCUGUGGCCCCUGUACCACCCUUGUAAGUCCACUCAUGAUUGCAUUUAGGGGCCACACAAGUACUACAGCACAGCCUCCCCACCUCACCCAGUCUCCUCUGCAAAGCCUCUGUUGCCACACAAAGUAACGCUCAAGGUUCUGGGAUUAUAAGUAUGAGUCCUGGGCGGGGAGGUCUAUAACUUGCCUAAUACAUAUGGGUUUGAAUUCAUUUUAAAUAAUGUGGUCCAGCCUCUACUGCUUUUAAAGUAAUUUCUUAUUUUAUACGUGACGCCGUGGGCAAGCUGACGAAGCCCUAUUUCUUUGUCUAGCAGGCUAUGCUACUGUAAUUGCUAACUGGAAAGCCUGUCCCUCAUCGGACUCUCGUUAGUCUCGUCUAGGACCACAAGACCGCCUACCGUAUUUCCUGCGUUGCCCUGGUCAAUGGUUUCAGUUCCCAGAAAAUGAAUCUUAACAGUCAGAAUUUUUGAUUGCCAGAGUAACCUUGCUUGAACUGGUUUAAAUUUUUUAAAAAAGUGUUGGCUCACAAAACUGAAAAUUGCAGUGGUGUUGAUGGGCUUGGGCACAAAUAGAAGCAAAUACUCAGUUAUGUCCUCAGGAACAUUUUGAAGUCAGUGUUUAUGCUGGGGGUGGACCACAGGGCCUCACGCAUGCCAGGCACAGGUUCUACACGGAGCACCCAGCCCCUCAUCUUCAGGAAUUUCCAAUCCGUCCCUUCCCUUCAACCUGCUUCGCUUAGUCUUGGUUUUUUCUCAGCCGAAGGCUAAUGCUCUAAUGCUCAUAAGUGUUGCAAAACAACAUCUCAGAAGUGCUGAUCUUCUAAUCUACCAACUUAGCAACCCAACAGCUGGAGGCAAUGCCUUUCUCUCAGAAGUUGCAGCAAAGGUCCCAGGGGUGUUGUCCCUGACCCAGGGGAAGUCACAGCACAUUACCGGCCCUGACGCCAUGGCUUCUGGGGUAUGUAUGUGCUCUGACUGUCGAAGCCUGAGCUCUAUGUCUCCUUGAAACCUAGGAGGAGCCCUUGUCCCAGGCCACAUAAGGGAGGCUUGGUCUCCCCAAAAUAAAGGUAAACUCAGCAGAAAGAGAAGUUGAUGGUGGGCCAAACAAAUUAACAUGUCUGCUACACUAGUUUCAGACCCAGGUGCUGCCUGUACAAGGAACAUCUAAUAGUGACGAAUUUCUCGAGGCAAGACUGUGCUUGCCCCUUACGCUAGACCCUUUCCCUCCAUCCUUGAGUAAUGCAGCACUACUCAGCUGUGUGUGGAUUCUCAGACACCAGAGUCGGGGAAAAUGAUCUCUUCUUAUGCCCAGGGCUGAGCCAAGAAAAGCCUGUUUCCUUGCUGAAAUAACCUGACACUGCAGGAUUGCAAAACCACGUCACAAAAGUCUCAACUCAGAUCUGUAAACCAUGGGAACCCUGAAAGAAAUGAUUGGUUGGAUUGUCCAGAGAUUACAUGACUACAAUGAAAGUGUAAAGUUUAGAUAGCACAUUCUCACUUUCGCCAAAACAGAACACUAAUGUGACCCAAUGUUUCUUAUUUCCAAAAAGCCCCUGACUAAAUCAAGUAAAAAGAAACCAACAAAGCUUUCCAUGUCCCGGCUUGUAACAUUUCUCUUCAUAAAUGAGUUCCUAGAUACUUGAAUUUGAAAAUCCAUCUCUAGGUUGGGUAUUCACUUUUCAUCUAAAAGUAAAUAUAUAUUGUUAAUCUGA